AGAGAGAGAGAGAGAGAGAGAGAGAGAGAGAGAGAGAGAGAGAGAGAGAAGGUAGGGAGCAUGGAGAAAAUGAAUUGAUAGUUUUAGUUCAUUCCAGUCUUUAUGGAUGCUCUCCAUCUUCCUUGUGGCGUAAAUAACAAUAAACAAAGCAGAGACUCAAUAAAGACUGACUUCAUCUGGGUUGAUGUGGCGUUACCAUGGCAACGUGCCCAUCUCAAGUGAAGCAGGAGGCGGCCGCUCGUCAAUCUGUGCUCUCUGAAGAGUCUAUAUGUGUGUCCAUCAAAGAUCCUGUCACUGCCAUGAUGACAGUGAGUUAUUGUUGACUCCUCUCAAGGGUCUUUCAAUCCUUUCUGCGACAUCAAAUUAAAACAAUAUUUGUUCAUUCAUAGAUUUGGCUUCUUUUUUUGCUAACCUAGCACAGCAUGAAUGCCAAUGGUUCCUCAAGUCUAUGUCUUUUAUCAGGAACAAAAUUACAUAUAUGGUUCCUCAAGUCUAUGUCUUUUAUCAGGAAAAAAAUGACAUAUAUGGCUGCUCAAAUGUUGACAAAAAGUCUCUCAGGAGAAAUGUACACUAUCGCAACUUUAUGCGACGGAACAUUCUAGUAACAGCCAAAGACUGUUUACUUCGACCGACUUUCAUGUCCAUGAACUUGUGAGUUCUAAAUUUAAGGUCUUUUUUUUUCUCUACAAGGAGCGUGGGAAUGGUCUUUAUCAGAGCCAGUGGCCUUCGUCUGGCAGGCGCUUCACACUUGUUCAUAUCACGAUUUCUUCUGUUGUUGCAAAGAUGCGGCACUGCACGAUAUUCUUGAUAUUUUUUUUCCCCCUCCUGAACUCCCCCUCAGUUCACAGUACAGCCUCCCUUUCAGUUCCAGUCGGCAGGCCUCACUGGCGUGAGUGGAGUGGAGAUCAUGUUGCCAAAGCUCACCAUUUCACUCAAAUUGCAGAAAAUGUUUUUUUUUUAAAAAAUUUUAGGAAAAAUGCCUCUCCCACACACGGACCCACGGGACACACGGGACACACGGACACACACCUUGUCAGAGCUUCAGCUAGGGUGCGUCUCAGAGUGCAGUGCAUCUUGGGGACACAUCUCGAGUGAGUGAGUGAGUGAGUGAAAGAGUGAGUGAGUGAG
ensembl:lncRNA